GACGAACUCUGGCGGCGUGCUUAACACAUGCAAGUCGAACGGAAAGGCCUUUUCGGAGGUACUCGAGUGGCGAACGGGUGAGUAACACGUGGGUGAUCUGCCCUGCACUCUGGGAUAAGCCUGGGAAACUGGGUCUAAUACCGGAUAGGACCGCACUUUAGUGUGUGUGGUGGAAAGUUUUUUCGGUGUAGGAUGAGCCCGCGGCCUAUCAGCUUGUUGGGGGGGUAAUGGCCUACCAAGGCGGCGACGGGUAGCCGGACUGAGAGGUUGGUCGGCCACAUUGGGACUGAGAGACGGCCCAGAUUCGUAAGGGAGGGAGCAGUGGGGAAUAUUGCACAAUGGGCGCAAGGCUGAUGCAGCGACGCAGCGUGGGGGAUGACGGCAUUCGGGUUGUAAACUCCUUUCGCCAGGGACGAAGCGUUUUGUGACGGUACCUGGAGAAGAAGCACCGGCUAACUACGUG
rnacentral:rRNA from 1 species